CCCACCUCUCCUCCACCAGAUGAGAUCGAGGUGGUCAUGUUAAUGACCCUAGACCUGCCCUUCACUCCGGAACUGAGUAAUCCAACGAGCAGCCAGUUCAUAGACCUGAGAGGAACAGUACAGCCAGUGCUGGAGGCAAACUAUCAAUCGCUCACAGGAUUCAGGUCGAUUAAUGUGCGAGGAUUCAG